rnacentral:rRNA from 1 species
AUCAAUAUGGUAGGAGAGCGUUCUGUAAGCCUGCGAAGGUGUCUUGUAAAGGAUGCUGGAGGUAUCAGAAGUGCGAAUGCUGACAUGAGUAGCGAUAAUGGGGGUGAAAAGCCUCCACGCCGUAAGCCCAAGGUUUCCUGUUCAACGUUCAUCGGAGCAGGGUGAGUCGGCCCCUAAGGCGAGGCAGAGAUGCGUAGCUGAUGGGAAGCAGGUUAAUAUUCCUGCACCGUCGUAUGAUGCGAUGGGGGGACGGAUCGCGGAAGGUUGUCAGGCGGUUGGAAGAGCCUGUUUUUGACUCAUAGAAGGUCCUUAGGCAAAUCCGGGGACGUAAUUCAAGGGGUCGAGACGAGAGACUUCGGUCUUGAAGCAAUCGGAAGUGGUUCCAAGAAAAGCCUCUAAGCUUCAGUCAUACGAGACCGUACCGCAAACCGACACAGGUGGGCGAGAUGAGUAUUCUAAGGCGCUUGAGAGAACUCGGGAGAAGGAACUCGGCAAAUUGGUACCGUAACUUCGGGAAAAGGUACGCCCUGGUAGCUUGAUUGGUUUACUCCAUGAGGGCGAACGGGUUGCAAUAAACUGGUGGCUGCGACUGUUUAAUAAAAACACAGCACUCUGCAAACACGAAAGUGGACGUAUAGGGUGUGACGCCUGCCCGGUGCUGGAAGAUUAAAUGAUGGGGUGCAAGCUCUUGAUUGAAGUCCCAGUAAACGGCGGCCGUAACUAUAACGGUCCUAAGGUAGCGAAAUUCCUUGUCGGGUAAGUUCCGACCUGCACGAAUGGCGUAACGAUGGCCACACUGUCUCCUCCCGAGACUCAGCGAAGUUGAAAUGUUUGUGAUGAUGCAAUCUACCCGCGGCUAGACGGAAAGACCCCAUGAACCUUUACUGUAGCUUUGCAUUGGACUUUGAACCAAUCUGUGUAGGAUAGGUGGGAGGCUUUGAAGCGGUGACGCCAGUCAUCGUGGAGCCAACCUUGAAAUACCACCCUGGUUUGUUUGAGGUUCUAACCUUGGUCCGUUAUCCGGAUCGGGGACAGUGCAUGGUAGGCAGUUUGACUGGGGCGGUCUCCUCCUAAAGUGUAACGGAGGAGUUCGAAGGUACGCUAGAUACGGUCGGACAUCGUGUUGAUAGUGCAAUGGCAUAAGCGUGCUUAACUGCGAGACUGACAAGUCGAGCAGGUACGAAAGUAGGACAUAGUGAUCCGGUGGUUCUGUAUGGAAGGGCCAUCGCUCAACGGAUAAAAGGUACUCUGGGGAUAACAGGCUGAUUCCUCCCAAGAGUUCAUAUCGACGGGGGAGUUUGGCACCUCGAUGUCGGCUCAUCACAUCCUGGGGCUGUAGCCGGUCCCAAGGGUAUGGCUGUUCGCCAUUUAAAGUGGUACGUGAGCUGGGUUUAAAACGUCGUGAGACAGUUUGGUCCCUAUCUGCCGUGGGCGUUGGAAAUUUGAAGGGGGCUGCUCCUAGUACGAGAGGACCGGAGUGGACAGACCUCUGGUGUACCGGUUGUCACGCCAGUGGCAUUGCCGGGUAGCUAAGUCUGGAAGAGAUAACCGCUGAAAGCAUCUAAGCGGGAAACUUGCCUUGAGAUGAGAUUUCCCAGAGCCUUGAGCUCUUUAAAGGGUCGUUCGAGACCAGGACGUUGAUAGGCUGGGUGUGGAAGUGCAGUAAUGCAUUAAGCUAACCAGUACUAAUUGCCCGUACGGCUUGU